rnacentral:tRNA from 1 species
GCCUCCGUAGCUCAGGGGAUAGAGCGUUGGUUUCCGGUACCAAAGGUCGCUGGUUCGAUUCCAGUCGGGGGCACAA